GCUUAACGCGAAGAACCUUACCUGGUCUUGACAUAGUAAGAACUUUCCAGAGAUGGAUUGGUGCCUUCGGGAACUUACAUACAGGUGCUGCAUGGCUGUCGUCAGCUCGUGUCGUGAGAUGUUGGGUUAAGUCCCGCAACGAGCGCAACCCUUUUCCUUAUUUGCCAGCGGGUUAAGCCGGGAACUUUAAGGAUACUGCCAGUGACAAACUGGAGGAAGGCGGGGACGACGUCAAGUCAUCAUGGCCCUUACGACCAGGGCUACACACGUGCUACAAUGGUCGGUACAAAGGGUUGCUACCUAGCGAUAGGAUGCUAAUCUCAAAAAGCCGAUCGUAGUCCGGAUUGGAGUCUGCAACUCGACUCCAUGAAGUC
rnacentral:rRNA from 1 species